rnacentral:rRNA from 1 species
GCGUGUAUGAAGAAGGCCUUCGGGUUGUAAAGUACUUUCAGCGGGGAGGAAGGGAGUAAAGUUAAUACCUUUGCUCAUUGACGUUACCCGCAGAAGAAGCACCGGCUAACUCCGUGCCAGCAGCCGCGGUAA